AGGAGACCAAGAUGAUCAUUUCUCCUCACAGAGUCACCUGGCACAUGAGUACUGUUGAAUGUCCCUCAAGGUGACCAGCUGACUCUCUCAGUAGGAGGCAUUCACCUCCUCCGCCCUCUUUCCCUCUGGCUCCACCCCAGGCUGCUGGAAAGUGCACCAGACUCUGAUCGGAAGCUGGCAGCUGCCAAGAGCCUCGUCAUGAGGUGGAAUUUCCAAGCUCCCUCCGGUCGGUCACCGAGUUAUCCUAGUUCCUGAAAUUCCUGACUCCAAUUUCUCAGCCGUUGCCGUGAUCGCUUUUUCCCAUUUCUGGUUAGGUUUGUUUGUAUGUGUGUGUGUUUUUCCUUUUCACUGUAUUUUUAGACUUGGGAAAAAUAAACAGUUCACACACUA